AUGGUGGUGAUGGUGGUGGUGGUGUCACACUGGUAUAUCUUCAGCAGCGGGACCAGACUCACCGUCACAGGUCAGCCAGUGGUGGCCCCCACGGUCACUUUGUUCCCGCCCUCCCCCGAGGAACUCAAGGGCAGCAGGGCCACCCUGGUGUGUCUCAUCAACGACUUCUACCCGGGUGAAGUGACAGUGACCUGGAAGGCAGAUGGCACCACUGUCACCCAGGGUGUGGACACCACCAAGCCCUUAAAACACAGCAACCACAAGUACACGGCCAGCAGCUUCCUUAGCCUGUCACAUAGACAGUGGACACUGCACAGUCGCUUCACCUGCCAGGUCACACACAAGGGGAAAACCGUGGAGAAGAGCGUGGCCCCUGCACACUGUCUGUAG